AGAUAAAAGGAAAACCUUUAUUUCAGAACAUACUCUUUCUAGAGGGGAUUGUAAGGCUAAGAGUAGACAAAUAUUCCUUUCUAACCAAGAGAAUGUAGUCACCCACAACUUAGUUUACUGCUCCACAGUCUUCAGUGCAAAUGAGUAUUGACUAUUCUUGGAACUAAUGCACAUGUAAAUUAAAUGAAAUUGGCCACUUUCUAGAUAUGGAAAAUAUCUGCCAACGUUUGUUUACGUGGAAACUAGUUUUUUUUUUUAAUGCACAGCUUUUAGAAUGGUUGACACGUUUUACAGUAAAAUUGGUUUUACUACAAAAUCAAUAUAGUUUUAGAUUUUAAACAUCAAAUAGAAAUAUCAAUUAUACAGAGCACUUUUAGUGUUCUGGAAAAUUAAUACUUUACAAUAAGUUAAUAUUAUGUAUAAAUCCAUUAGAGGCCUUUCUAUCUUACAUGCAUAUGGCUUAUAUUUUGUAAAAAGUGCUGUGCAUAGAUUGUGGUUUUGAAUUGGUGAUGUUUAAAAGUAUAACAAAUUGAUUGUAAAAACAGCUGACUUCAGUGAACAUCCAGUGUUUUAGACAAUUUACUCAUUUAAUCUUGGAGUAAUUGAGAUUCAUGGAAAGCUGCAAAAAAUAUUCUAAAAAUAAUGGAAUGAACACACUUUUUGUUUAAUUUUGAGGUACAUUUACACAAACAAAAGGAGUCAAUGACUUAUUCCUAUUCAUACAAAAUUAUAACCCCCACUCUGAUUAACUGAUUGGGAUUAUAUUUGUAUGGCACCUUUAACAUGUAGAGCAACAAAGUAUGAUAUUGUGACUUGACAUCCAGGAAUAAGCUGGAGCAAAUGCAAUCAGUGAGGAAACAUAAAAACUGUUGGACUAUGUAGGCUGUGAUUCUGCAGGCAGAUCCUUCCAGUUGUAUAGUGCACCAGUGACUAACUGGAUAGUGUCUUUUUAAACUUUUAA